rnacentral:rRNA from 1 species
AGAGUUUGAUCCUGGCUCAGAGUGAACGCUGGCGGCAUGCCUAACACAUGCAAGUCGAACGGCAGCACAGCAGUAGCAACACUGUGGGUGGCGAGUGGCGGACGGGUGAGGAAUACAUCGGAAUUUGCCCUGUCGUGGGGGAUAACGUAGGGAAACUUACGCUAAUACCGCAUACGACCUAACGGUGAAAGCGGGGGAUCGCAAGACCUCGCGCGGCUGGAGAAGCCGAUGUCAGAUUAGCUAGUUGGCGGGGUAAAGGCCCACCAAGGCGACGAUCCGUAGCUGGUCUGAGAGGAUGAUCAGCCACACUGGGACUGAGACACGGCCCAGACUCCUACGGGAGGCAGCAGUGGGGAAUAUUGGACAAUGGGCGCAAGCCUGAUCCAGCAAUGCCGCGUGUGUGAAGAAGGCCUUCGGGUUGUAAAGCACUUUUAUCUGGAACGAAACACGCAAGGUUAAUACCUUUGCGGACUGACGGUACCAGAGGAAUAAGCACCGGCUAACUUCGUGCCAGCAGCCGCGGUAAUAC